rnacentral:rRNA from 1 species
GAUGAACGCUAGCGGCAGGCCUAACACAUGCAAGUCGAGGGGCAGCACAGGUAGCAAUACUGGGUGGCGACCGGCGGAUGGGUGCGUAACGCGUAUGCAACCUACCAUUGAUUGGGGCAUAGCCCGAAGAAAUUCGGAUUAAUACUCCAUAAUAUUCAUCAAAGGCAUCUUUUAUGAAUUAAAGCUUUUGCGAUCAAUGAUGGGCAUGCGUGACAUUAGUUAGUUGGUGAGGUAACGGCUCACCAAAACGAUGAUGUCUAGGGGUUCUGAGAGGAUUAUCCCCCACACUGGUACUGAGACACGGACCAGACUCCGGUACGGAGGCAGCAGUGAGGAAUAUUGGUCAAUGGACGCAAGUCUGAACCAGCCAUGCCGCGUGCAGGAUGACGGCCCUAUGGGUUGUAAACUGCUUUUCCACGGGAAGAACCCUCCGACGUGUCGGAGACUGACGGUACCGUGGGAAUAAGCAUCGGCUAACUCCGUGCC